rnacentral:rRNA from 1 species
AAUCAACGCUGGCGGCGUGCCUCAGACAUGCAAGUCGAACGAUUAAGACUUCCUUCGGGAAGUGUAUAAAGUGGCGCACGGGUGAGUAACACGUAAGUAAUCUACCCUCGAGUGGGGAAUAACGUUCGGAAACGAACGCUAAUACCGCAUAAUGCAGCGGCAUCGCAAGAUGACAGUUGUUAAAGGAGUAAUUCGCUUGAGGAGGAGCUUGCGGCAGAUUAACUAGUUGGUAAGGUAACGGCUUACCAAGGCUACGAUCUGUAUCCGGUCUAAGAGGACGGUCGGACACGCUGACACUGAAUAACGGAUCAGAAUCCGACGGGAGGCAGCAGUCGGGAAUUUUGGGCAUUCGGCGAAAGCCUGACCCAGCAACGCCGCGUGAAGGAUGAAGUAUUUCGGUAUUUAAACUUCGAAAGAAAGGGAAGAAUAUAUGACGGUACCAUUUAUUAGCUCCUGCUAACUACGUGCCAGCCGCCGCUGUAACAC